GACGAACGCUGGCGGCGUGCCUAAUACAUGCAAGUAGAACGCUGAAGGAGGAGCUUGCUCUUCUGGAUGAGUUGCGAACGGGUGAGUAACGCGUAGGUAACCUGCCUGGUAGCGGGGGAUAACUAUUGGAAACGAUAGCUAAUACCGCAUAACAGUAGAUGUUGCAUGACAUUUACUUAAAAGGUGCAAUUGCCUCACUACCAGAUGGACCUGCGUUGUAUUAGCUAGUUGGUGGGGUAACGGCUCACCAAGGCGACGAUACAUAGCCGACCUGAGAGGGGGAUCGGCCACACUGGGACUGAGACACGGCCCAGACUCCUACGGGAGGCAGCAGUAGGGAAUCUUCGGCAAUGGACGGAAGUCUGACCGAGCAACGCCGCGUGAGUGAAGAAGGUUUUCGGAUCGUAAAGCUCUGUUGUAAGAGAAGAACGAGUGUGAGAGUGGAAAGUUCACACUGUGACGGUAUCUUACCAGAAAGGGACGGCUAACUACGUG
rnacentral:rRNA from 1 species